CUAACCACUGGGCCAUUGCACCUCCACUGUUAAGCCUUUACUUGCUUACUCUUUGACAAGGAGCCUUCACCUACGGAACAUUGACAGAUGAACGUAUCUGACGAAUUAUCCAAAAAAACAAUUAAGUCCUUCGUUUCACUCUUCGUCUCAAGUCACUGUCAAGAUGUUCGUAGACCCAGUUUUACCAUGGGGCUGAGUCUUUAUGUUUUACUUGAUAAAUCACAAAUAUGAGUUGGUGGAUAUUUUUGACGAUGGAAACAAGCUCUCGGUGAACACCGCCAAAAUGCUCCGACAAAGGGAGUGAGGGGAAAAAAAGCAUCCUAAUGUUUAUUAAUUUUAUUUCAAAAGCUUUAAACAGAACUUUUCGGUGUGGAAACUACCGACUCCCCACUCGCCAUUCCGGUUGAAAUCCACAAACACACUCUGAUCUUUAUAUCAAUGUUUACGUAGAUAAAUACACCAGUGCCUAUUUUUGUUUUUGUUUGGUUGUUUAAAUAAUGAGAUUUGGUGGAGAUUCUUGGAUUCUAACCCUAACCCUAACCAAAGACAAUAAUGGCAAGUUUCCCUCGGUGACACACUCGGUUCGCUAUUGGUUUCCUAUUUGAACUGCUAUAGUCACAUUUUACUUUGUGUCUCGUCUCCGGAAAAGCUCCACCGAAGAUCCAUACCUCCAUACCCCCUGACACAGCUACAGUCUCUCUUCAGAAUGUCUUCCACACCAAGUUCCUCCAAAAACCAGCAACAACAACAACUCUAACAUCAGCCAGAAAAUCAUUACAUUUGCUGAGCCUAAGAAACAUCAACAAAUUUCCACCUUUCACUUGUGUUUAUUGCAAUUAGAAUAUAUUCACUUCCAUAAGU